rnacentral:lncRNA from 1 species
UAGACAUGGGGUAGGUGGACAGGGGACAGAUGGACAUGGGACAGAUGGACACAGCAUGCAUGAAUAUGGAUAGACUGACAUGGGAUGGAUGGAUACAGGGCGGGUGGACACGAGGUGGGAUGACGUGGGACGGGCAGACAUAGGAUGGAAGGGUAUGGAUAGAUGGACGUGGGACAGGUGGACACUGGGUGGAUAUGGGAUGGGCAGACAAGGGGUGGUGGAUGGACAUGGGGUGGACAGAUAUGGGAUGGAUGGAAUAUGGGAUGGGCAGACAUGGGAUGGAUGGACAUGGGAUGGACAGAUAUGGGAUAGGUAGAAAUGGGAUGGAUGGAUAUGGGAUGGACAGACAUGGGAUGGACAGAUAUGGGAUGGAUGGGCAUGGGAUGGACAGAUAUGG